GUUGGUGUCACUAAAACAAACUAGUGACCGCAUAGCAACAGAUGCCAAUCGUCGCUAAACCAUGCAUAUUUAAUCCUGUAGCGACAAUAAACCCAUAUGUCGGUAUAUAAAGUGACUGUUGUUUCCAUCGCUAAGGCGUACAUCAAUUGUCACUUAUGUUGCAACCAAGAAGUUGUUGUAUAUCCAUUUAGCAACGGACGGUAGCU
rnacentral:lncRNA from 1 species